GCCACACGUUGGUGGUCAUGAUCUGCUCCCGUUCGUUCACGCUGAUGAGCUGUGCCAGUGACACCAUGAGCUGCACGGUGACGAGCUGAGAGCCGUUGGUGGCCGGGCGGAUGAGUUUGUUGUAGCGUGUGGGGUCCAGGAGGUAUUCCACCAGGCGCUCCUCCGUGUCCGUGCACAGACUGCGUCGGAGCGCGGCGAGGAGGCAGAGGACGCGGAGCAGCGCCAUGGGGGCGGCCCGCUGCCUCCGCCGGUGCCGGUCUCGGUGCCGCUGCCCCGGCGCUGUCCCCGGUGCUGCCCGCGCUCUCCGCGGUGCUGGAGCCGGCGGCGGCGGCGGCG
rnacentral:lncRNA from 1 species